rnacentral:rRNA from 1 species
GACGAACGCUGGCGGCGUGCCUAAUACAUGCAAGUCGAGCGAACCUUGAGGUGCUUGCACCUCUUGGUUAGCGGCGGACGGGUGAGUAACACGUGGGCAACCUGCCUGUAAGACUGGGAUAACACCGGGAAACCGGUGCUAAUACCGGAUAAUCCUUUUCCUCUCAUGAGGAAAAGCUGAAAGUCGGUUUCGGCUGACACUUACAGAUGGGCCCGCGGCGCAUUAGCUAGUUGGUGAGGUAACGGCUCACCAAGGCGACGAUGCGUAGCCGACCUGAGAGGGUGAUCGGCCACACUGGGACUGAGACACGGCCCAGACUCCUACGGGAGGCAGCAGUAGGGAAUCUUCCGCAAUGGACGAAAGUCUGACGGAGCAACGCCGCGUGAGCGAUGAAGGCCUUCGGGUCGUAAAGCUCUGUUGUUAGGGAAGAACAAGUAUCGGAGUAACUGCCGGUACCUUGACGGUACCUAACCAGAAAGCCACGGCUAACUACGUGCCAGCCGCCGCAGUAACAC